rnacentral:rRNA from 1 species
GUAGGUGGCAAGCGUUGUCCGGAAUUAUUGGGCGUAAAGCGCGCGCAGGCGGUUCUUUAAGUCUGAUGUGAAAGCCCACGGGCUCAACCGUGGAGGGUCAUUGGAAACUGGAGAACUUGAGUACAGAAGAGGAAAGCGGAAUUCCACGUGUAGCGGUGAAAUGCGUAGAGAUGUGGAGGAACACCAGUGGCGAAGGCGGCUUUCUGGUCUGUAACUGACGCUGAGGCGCGAAAGCGUGGGGAGCAAACAGGAUUAGAUACCCUGGUAGUCCACGCCGUAAACGAUGAGUGCUAAGUGUUAGGGGGUUUCCGCCCCUUAGUGCUGCAGCUAACGCAUUAAGCACUCCGCCUGGGGAGUACGGCCGCAAGGCCG